AUACGUAGGGUGCGAGCGUUGUCCGGAAUUACUGGGCGUAAAGAGCUCGUAGGUGGUUUGUCGCGUCGUCUGUGAAAUUCCGGGGCUUAACUCCGGGCGUGCAGGCGAUACGGGCAUAACUUGAGUACUGUAGGGGAGACUGGAAUUCCUGGUGUAGCGGUGAAAUGCGCAGAUAUCAGGAGGAACACCGGUGGCGAAGGCGGGUCUCUGGGCAGUAACUGACGCUGAGGAGCGAAAGCAUGGGUAGCGAACGGGAUUAGAUACCCUGGUAGUCCAUGCCGUAAACGGUGGGCGCUAGGUGUAGGGGUCUUCCACGACUUCUGUGCCGUAGCUAACGCAUUAAGCGCCCCGCCUGGGGAGUACGGCCGCAAGGCUAAAACUCAAAUGAAUUGACGGGG
rnacentral:rRNA from 1 species